rnacentral:tRNA from 1 species
GGCCCUGUAGCUCAACGGUAGAGCGAGCGUUUUAUAAACGCUGUGAGCGGCAGAUUACCGCGCGAUCCCGGUUCGAAUCCGGGCAGGGCUA